CCUACGGGAGGCAGCAGUGAGGAAUAUUGGUCAAUGGUCGGGAGACUGAACCAGCCAAGCCGCGUGAGGGAGGUAGGUACAGAGUAUCGUAAACCUCUUUUGUCAGGGAACAAAGACUGGGACGCGUCCCCGGAUGAGUGUACCUGAAGAAAAAGCAUCGGCUAACUCCGUGCCAGCCGCCGCGGUAAUACGGAGGAUGCGAGCGUUAUCCGGAUUUAUUGGGUUUAAAGGGUGCGCAGGCGGUCUGUUAAGUCAGCGGUCAAAGCCCGGGGCUCAACCCCGGCCCGCCGUUGAAACUGGCAGUCUCGAGUUGGAGAGAAGUAUGCGGAAUGCGCGGUGUAGCGGUGAAAUGCAUAGAUAUCGCGCAGAACUCCGAUUGCGAAGGCAGCAUGCCGGCUCCACACUGACGCUGAGGCACGAAAGCGUGGGUAUCGAACAGGAUUAGAUACCCCGGUAGUC
rnacentral:rRNA from 1 species